GGGCCCGCACAAGCGGUGGAGCAUGUGGUUUAAUUCGAUGAUACGCGAGGAACCUUACCAGGGUUUAAAUGCAGAACGACAGGGGUGGAAACACCCCCUUCUUCGGACGGACUGCAAGGUGCUGCAUGGUUGUCGUCAGCUCGUGCUGUGAAGUGUCGGGUUAAGUCCCAUAACGAGCGCAACCCCCAUUUCUAGUUGCCAGCGGUUCGGCCGGGGACUCUAGAGAAACUGCCAGCGUAAGCUGUGAGGAAGGUGGGGAUGACGUCAAAUCAUCACGGCCCUUACAUCCUGGGCCACACACGUGCUACAAUGGUAGGGACAACAGGUUGCCAACCCGCGAGGGUGAGCCAAUCCCAAAACCCUAUCUCAGUUCGGAUCGGAGUCUGCAACUCGACUCCGUGAAGUUGGAAUC
rnacentral:rRNA from 1 species